CAAGAUGGCGCUGCGGGCGAUGCGGGGAAUUGUCAACGGGGCCGCACCCGAGCUACCCGUGCCCACCGGUGGGCCGGCGGUGGGAGCUCGGGAGCAGGCGCUGGCAGUCAGUCGGAACUACCUCUCCCAGCCUCGCCUCACAUACAAGACAGUAUCUGGAGUCAAUGGUCCACUAGUGAUCUUAGAUCAUGUUAAGUUUCCCAGGUAUGCUGAAAUUGUCCAUUUGACCUUACCAGAUGGCACAAAGAGAAGUGGGCAAGUUCUGGAAGUUAGUGGUUCCAAGGCAGUAGUUCAGGUAUUUGAAGGGACUUCAGGUAUAGAUGCUAAGAAAACGUCCUGUGAGUUUACUGGGGAUAUUCUCCGAACACCGGUGUCUGAGGAUAUGCUUGGUCGGGUAUUCAAUGGAUCGGGAAAACCCAUUGACAGAGGUCCUGUUGUACUGGCCGAAGACUUCCUUGAUAUCAUGGGUCAGCCAAUCAACCCUCAAUGUCGAAUCUACCCAGAGGAAAUGAUUCAGACUGGCAUUUCGGCCAUCGAUGGGAUGAACAGUAUUGCUAGGGGGCAGAAAAUUCCUAUCUUCUCUGCUGCUGGGCUACCGCACAAUGAGAUUGCAGCUCAGAUCUGUCGCCAGGCUGGUUUGGUAAAGAAAUCCAAAGAUGUAGUAGACUACAGUGAGGAAAAUUUUGCAAUUGUAUUUGCUGCUAUGGGUGUAAACAUGGAAACUGCCCGGUUCUUCAAAUCUGACUUUGAAGAAAAUGGCUCAAUGGACAAUGUCUGCCUCUUUUUGAACUUGGCUAAUGACCCAACCAUUGAGCGAAUUAUCACUCCUCGCCUGGCUCUAACCACAGCUGAAUUUCUGGCGUACCAAUGUGAGAAACAUGUAUUGGUUAUUCUAACAGACAUGAGUUCUUAUGCUGAAGCACUUCGAGAGGUAAGUUGUUCAUGUUUUUCCCUCAGUUAAACAAAAUUGGUUAAUUUUCAGGGUUAACUUGUCACUUUGCAAGUUUUCAUUCUUUAUGGUUUUUUAAUUCCACUGUUCAUACAUUAAUAGAAUGCCUUAAUAAAUCAGAAAGGAAACUACUUCCUUUUUGUCAACUUGGUAGAAGUGAUUAGAGGUUAAGAUUUAAAUGGUUAGCCUGUUUAUCAUACUGUCACUAUCUCCAUGGAUUAAGAAAUGAUUGUAAAAGGGAGUAAAUAAUUCAAGCUGUUUAUUCAGUUACUCUCUCGGGAAGUUCUGUUUCUGUCCAGACUAUUAAUUUUUAAACCUUUUUGUAAUUCCAUUUUUAAUGAUGUUAAUAUUUUAUGAAGACCCUACUCUCACAGUACUCUCUUCAGCACUUUUUUCUUCAGAAAACCCAGUGUUUAUUUAGGAAAAAUAUGAAGAUUCUAGCAGGCUGGGCACGGUAGCUCAUUCCUGUAAUCCCAGCACUUUGGGAAGCCAAGGCAGGAGGGUCACUUGGGAUCAGGAGUUCAAGACCAGCCUGGGUAACAUAGCAAGACCCUUUCUCCACAAAAAAAUUAAGAUAUUGGCUGGGCGUAGUGGCACACACACUUGUAAUCCUAGUUGCUCAGGAGGCUGAGGUGGGAGGAUAGCUUGAGUCCAGUAAUUUGAGGCUGCGGUGGGCUAUGAUUGUGCCACUGCACUCCAGUCUGGGUGACAGAUCGAGACCUGCUUCUUAAAGAAAGAUUAUAACAGUUACCCCUAGAAGUUUUGGGGUAUUUGUUCUAAUACAAGUUACUGAAAUUUUGAGUAAGUUACUUUUUUAAGCACAUAAAAAGAUUCUGAAGAGACAGGCUUCUUAAAAUUCCCUCAGUGCCCUCACCAUAUCUUACUCUGCUAUACUGCUGUUUCAGACUAACUCUAGUCAAGGACUAGUUUUUCUCCCCCAUCCAUCACAGACCAAUACUUUUGUAAAAUGCAAUAAAAAUGAGUUAUUAGAAAAGUGAAAUUUUAACUAUAUAUAUAAUUUACAAAUGCAGAUUUUAGAAUUGUUAGAUUCAACAGGCAUAAAAUUAUUCUGCCAAAUUGCCCUGAAAGUUUCUAAAUGCUUAUCUUGCUUUCUGUGUGAUCAUUGCGUGUUGAUAACAGUUGGUCUGCAGACCGCGCUGUGAGGAGCACCGCUGUAGCACGCUCCUUUGAAGAUGUCAGAGUAGCACUUAGAAGCUGGAUUUCAUAAUGCUUUAGGGUUCUAGUUGAUUGUAGGUGAACAUGCACACCUGUAGUCUGGUAUCCAUGUCUCUAAGGGAAAGAUCGUUUAUCACCAUUCUUAUUUUGUGCAGUGGAAUGGACUCCUGACUUUGUGACCUUCAGAAAUUGUUUAAUUUUUCUGACCCUUGAUUCCAACUGUUAAUUGGAGGUAGCACCUUCCUCAUAGGGUUGCUGUGAGGAUUAAGUUAAAUAAUGUUGUAAAGCGCAGCAGAUGAUUCCUGGUGUACAUUUCCUUCCCUUUUGACCUUUUUGGGAUUAGGUUAGAUAAAUAUGGCUAGUUUCACCACGUGGAAUAAAUCUUGUGAACCAAGAAUCUUUUCUGUUUUAAAGUUAACUUCCUUUGAUUUAUAAAAUUGCAAACAGAUUUUCUUCUAGCAAACUAUUUGAAAACUUACAUUAUGGCAAUACGAUUUUAGCAGAAACCUUCUGGUGCCCCAUUGUCAACAUUUUUGUUACAGAAUACUUUGAAUUUAUGUUGCCGGGAGAUUUUUCUAAAUCAUUCUUAAGGAUAGUAUUUAAAAUGAACAUGAUGGGAUUUUCAACUUUGUACUUUGGCAUGUUGAAACAAACAUGUUGUAAGCAAGCUUGUUGUAAUAUCGUGCGUGAUACUCUUCUGCUUGACCUGCUGUCAGGUUUCAGCAGCCAGGGAAGAGGUACCUGGUCGACGAGGUUUUCCAGGUUACAUGUAUACAGAUUUAGCCACGAUAUAUGAACGCGCUGGGCGAGUGGAAGGGAGAAACGGCUCGAUUACUCAAAUCCCUAUUCUAACCAUGCCUAAUGAUGGUAAGUUUUGGUAUUUGGAUUAUAACACACCUAAUCAUUUUAAAGAGAGAGAAGACCCAUCUACCUUUUCGAGUUGAAGUUAUUUUGAGAACACAUCCCCUAAGAGUUUAUCUUGGUUAUUUGCCUAAAUAAAACAUUUUUCAUUUGAAAAUUACCCACAGUUAUUAUCCUAUUGUGGAGGAAAAGCAAUUUUCUUCAUAAUUUAAGUUUUUAACUUUAUUAGGUACUAUUGAGUGCCUGCUGUUUGCAGGACACUGUUCUAAAUGUAAAGAAUUUUUGAAAAGAAUUUAUGGUCUCUACUUAAUGUAAGUUACUCAGUCUAAUUGGGGAUGUUUUUUAUGUGUGUGCACCAGUAAUUUAAGAUGGCCAUGUUCAGUGCCACAUGAGGAGUACAAGUGGUAAACUCCACAAAACUUAGAGACAGAUUUUUUUAACCAAGGGCUGGUUAAAAAUGACUUUCCAAUGCCUGUCUGCGUGUGUGCCCAGGGUGGCUCGUGGGGAACGACUAUUCAGAAUUCCUCUCCUGUGUUGCCUCUUUGUCCUUAUUUCAGUUUUUGAACAACACUUUUACAAAAUACGGUAAGUUAUUACUGACUGUAAUUGAGCACUGUUCUGAGUGCUUUAUAAAUAUUCACUCAUUUGCUCCUCAUAGCAACUUUGAGGCAGAUGCUGUUUGAGGCACAGGGAGGUAAAAUGACUUGUUGAGAUUAGCAAGUGAUAGAUUUAGGACCCAGUUUGAGUUCAUAACUCACACUGUUACUCUGUACUGCCUCUGACGUGAAAAUGAUUUGUUCCAAGGGAGUAGCUACAAAAUGAUGUAAUUUAACAGAUUUGGAAAUGUGUUGCUUUGUGUGACCUUUUUGGUGCAGCCUGUGUAGUGUUGUUUACUUGUCUAUAUGUCUGCGUUUUGCGUGGUGAAAUGUUGUGUAUCCAUCCGACAUAGCUUAUGAACUAAGAAUGUUCUCAGUAUACAUCAGGUUGGCAAAUUUCUAUAAGGGAACUUUGGGUUUAAAAUGAAACUUUACUUAUAUUGAGAGGGGAGAGCGCUUACCUAGGGGAGAGAGUAUUUUUAAUGAAUGCAGCCAGGUUACCUCAUAGAGCCAACACACAUCUAACUGCUGCAACCAAACUAAACUGGCCAGUAUGGUUGCCGCUAGCCGCGUUUGGCUGUUUAAGUUCAAGUUAACUGAAAUAAUCGAAAUUAAGUUUUUCAGUUUUGUUAGCCACGUUUCAAGUGUUAGAUAGCCACAUUUUGCUAAUGGCUACCGUACUGCACAGCACAGACACAGAACAUUGGCAGCAUCACAGAAAAUGACUCUAAGAACACUCUUCUAAGUAAUGUUAUAGGUAGUACAGAGGGACUUUUUGUGGGUUUGGUUCUGAGAGAUGGCCGCUUUAAAACUCGUAACCUAAAGAUGCCAUGCUUAAUGCCGACUGUCUUCCUCUGGUAGAUAUCACUCACCCCAUCCCGGACUUGACUGGCUACAUUACAGAGGGGCAGAUCUAUGUGGACAGACAGCUGCACAACAGACAGGUACUGGACGGGAGCAGUGCUGGGAAGCUUGCAGACCUGCUCAUCCGUUAUUCUUUAGUGACUUGGAUUUUGCUCUUAGGAAUUGCUUUGCUUAGAAAGUAUCAACUUGAAUUGUUUUUAAUAUGGUUAUAAAAUUGUCAUUUCUAUUAUCUUAAAUUCUGGUGUCGGCAGAGCGCCAGAAUUAAGAAUCUUCUUAACACUUUUCUUUAUUGUGUCUUAAAACAGAGUCACUUGUCUCCAAGAACUUUUUUGGGAAUUCUGUUCCAUAAUGGUAUCAUCUACCAAUCUUGUUAUUGAUAGAAAAAAAAUGACUUUUCCAUGCCUCUCUAGUAGGUGCUGACUUCUAAAAUCAGCUUUUAGGAAUUAUUGUUAAUUUUUUUUAUUUUGUGUAUAAUUUUUUUGAGUCAGUUCAGAAGACCAUUUUGACUCAAUAAUGUGGUAGUACUUACCAAACAGAUGUUGAAAGUUGAGUUUUGUAAAAUAGUCUUGUACAGUGUUAUAGAUGACAGUUUUUUGGAUUUGAUUCUCGAAAGAAAUGCUAUGCUAUAAAGUGUUUCUUACUACCUUUUCUUGCCGGGAAGAGACAGUAGGAUUCAUCUAGGAGACAAAUGCAGCAGUUUUCUGUGAUUUAAGUUGUAAUAAUGAGUUUCAAAUGUUUUUUUAUUACCAGUAAAACUUGAGUUUUGUACUUAAAUAUAGUAUUUUUUCCCUUCUCAUUCUACCCAAGAUUUAUCCACCUAUCAAUGUGCUGCCCUCACUAUCACGGUUAAUGAAGUCUGCUAUUGGAGAAGGGAUGACCAGGAAGGAUCAUGCCGAUGUAUCUAACCAGCUAUAUGCGUGCUAUGCUAUUGGGAAGGAUGUGCAAGCCAUGAAAGCUGUCGUUGGAGAAGAAGCCCUUACCUCAGAUGAUCUUCUCUACUUGGAAUUUCUGCAGAAGUUUGAGAGGAACUUCAUUGCUCAGGGUCCUUACGAAAAUCGCACUGUCUUUGAGACUUUGGACAUUGGCUGGCAGCUACUCCGAAUCUUCCCCAAAGAAAUGCUGAAGAGAAUCCCUCAGAGCACCCUCAGCGAAUUUUACCCUCGAGACUCUGCAAAGCAUUAGCUGCUGCUUCUGCAUUGCUCCACGCUCUUGUGAAAUACUGGUUCUGUUUUCUUUAUUCCUUUUGCACUCCCGGUUCCCACCUUUGUGUUGGAGUUUACCAUGUUACCCUGUAAUUAAAAACAAAGAAUAGGUAACAUAUUGUGCCAGUGUUGCAACGUUUUAAACUGCUAAUAGACCUUAAAAUAUCCCCCUACCUGGGUCCUCAGUGCUAUGUUUAAAGUGCUGCAGGGAUGGAGUGGCGUUUUCUUAUUGCUGUAUGUAUUGUACAUAGUGGAGUAGUUAGUUACCUGAUAACAGUCUCGUUAUUUGGGUCUCUUAGACCUUACCUCUCAACUCCCUCAAGGGUACCAGUCUCUGAAGUUAUAAUGCUUUGGUCUCUACAUUAGGGGCAAGAUCCAGUCUGAAAGAAGUCUCCUUUGAGAAGGGCCAAGACGCUCUUUCCUGAGUGUUUGCUUUCGGUUUGUUGGUGUGCCUGUAUUGCUGGGCUGUGCUGCUGCUUGAAGCAGAUGGUUUUGACUGUCUAUUUGCUCUUUCCUAUAUAAUGAAUAGAUGAGUGAAAGGAGUUUUCUUUUUCUCUUUAGUACUUACGUAUUGGGAUUCCUGUGUCUUACAGCUCUCCCUCUCCAAAUAAUACACAGAAUCCUGCAACUUUUUGCACAGCUGGUAUCUGUCUGGUAGCAGUGAGACCCCUUGUCUUGGUGAUCCUUACUGGGUUUCCAAGCAGAGGAGUCACGUGAUUACAGUCGCCAGUAGAGUUGUUGUUUGGGGUACAAGAUGAGAAGAAAGAAAAACCUACAGCCUUUCUACAUUCUGACAUGCUAACAGUGGUUUAAGUUUCUAAAGUGUUUACCAGAUGCUGAAGGCAAGGGGAGGGAGCAGAAGCACUUACGUUUACGGAUAUUUUAAACUCUGUUAGAGAGCAGCCUUUGAAAAUCCCCAAUUUGGUUCUGCUUUUUGACCUCCCUCUACCUUUUCAGGGUAAUCUUUGUGGCACAAACGAUAGCAUUUCCAAGCUUUAGAGUUUUCUGAAUUCCUGCGCCUUCCUGACGUGAGCCCUGAGCGAUCUUCUAUGCAGUUCUGCCAUGCGUCCUGUUGGUCUCUCUGUGUUCUUUGUUACUUGGGUGCAAUAGCAACUUCCCUACUCCGUGCAUUCCAUCUUUCAUGUUGUGUAAAGUUCUUCACUUUUUUCUCUGAGGGGUGGGGGUUGGGGGAGUCAGCAUGAUUAUAUUUUAAUGUAGAAAAUGUGACAUCUGGAUAUAAAAUGAAAAUAAAUGUUAAAUUAAAUGG
rnacentral:sRNA from 1 species